rnacentral:tRNA from 1 species
GUCCCCAUCGUCUAGAGGCCUAGGACAUCGCCCUUUCACGGCGGUAACCGGGGUUCGAAUCCCCGUGGGUACG